GUGGGGAAUAUUGCACAAUGGGCGCAAGCCUGAUGCAGCAACGCCGCGUGAGGGAUGACGGCCUUCGGGUUGUAAACCUCUUUUAGUAGGGAAGAAGCGAAAGUGACGGUACCUGCAGAAAAAGCACCGGCUAACUACGUGCCAGCAGCCGCGGUAAUACGUAGGGUGCAAGCGUUGUCCGGAAUUAUUGGGCGUAAAGAGCUCGUAGGCGGCUUGUCGCGUCUGCUGUGAAAUCCCGGGGCUCAACCCCGGGCCUGCAGUGGGUACGGGCAGGCUAGAGUGCGGUAGGGGAGAUUGGAAUUCCUGGUGUAGCGGUGGAAUGCGCAGAUAUCAGGAGGAACACCGAUGGCGAAGGCAGAUCUCUGGGCCGCUACUGACGCUGAGGCACGAAAGCGUGGGGAUCGAACAGGAUUAGAAACCCGGGUAGUCC
rnacentral:rRNA from 1 species